rnacentral:rRNA from 2 species
GCAGUCGAACGCGUUGGCCCAAUUGAUUGAUGGUGCUUGCACCUGAUUGCUUUUGGUCGCCAACGAGUGGCGGACGGGUGAGUAACACGUAGGUAACCUGCCCAGAAGCGGGGGACAACAUUUGGAAACAGAUGCUAAUACCGCAUAACAGCGUUGUUCGCAUGAACAACGCUUAAAAGAUGGCUUCUCGCUAUCACUUCUGGAUGGACCUGCGGUGCAUUAGCUUGUUGGUGGGGUAACGGCCUACCAAGGCGAUGAUGCAUAGCCGAGUUGAGAGACUGAUCGGCCACAAUGGGACUGAGACACGGCCCAUACUCCUACGGGAGGCAGCAGUAGGGAAUCUUCCACAAUGGGCGCAAGCCUGAUGGAGCAACACCGCGUGAGUGAAGAAGGGUUUCGGCUCGUAAAGCUCUGUUGUUAAAGAAGAACACGUAUGAGAGUAACUGUUCAUACGUUGACGGUAUUUAACCAGAAAGUCACGGCUAACUACGUGCCAGCAGCCGCGGUAAUACGUAGGUGGCAAGCGUUAUCCGGAUUUAUUGGGCGUAAAGAGAGUGCAGGCGGUUUUCUAAGUCUGAUGUGAAAGCCUUCGGCUUAACCGGAGAAGUGCAUCGGAAACUGGAUAACUUGAGUGCAGAAGAGGGUAGUGGAACUCCAUGUGUAGCGGUGGAAUGCGUAGAUAUAUGGAAGAACACCAGUGGCGAAGGCGGCUACCUGGUCUGCAACUGACGCUGAGACUCGAAAGCAUGGGUAGCGAACAGGAUUAGAUACCCUGGUAGUCCAUGCCGUAAACGAUGAGUGCUAGGUGUUGGAGGGUUUCCGCCCUUCAGUGCCGGAGCUAACGCAUUAAGCACUCCGCCUGGGGAGUACGACCGCAAGGUUGAAACUCAAAGGAAUUGACGGGGGCCCGCACAAGCGGUGGAGCAUGUGGUUUAAUUCGAAGCUACGCGAAGAACCUUACCAGGUCUUGACAUCUUGCGCCAACCCUAGAGAUAGGGCGUUUCCUUCGGGAACGCAAUGACAGGUGGUGCAUGGUCGUCGUCAGCUCGUGUCGUGAGAUGUUGGGUUAAGUCCCGCAACGAGCGCAACCCUUGUUACUAGUUGCCAGCAUUAAGUUGGGCACUCUAGUGAGACUGCCGGUGACAAACCGGAGGAAGGUGGGGACGACGUCAGAUCAUCAUGCCCCUUAUGACCUGGGCUACACACGUGCUACAAUGGACGGUACAACGAGUCGCGAACUCGCGAGGGCAAGCAAAUCUCUUAAAACCGUUCUCAGUUCGGACUGCAGGCUGCAACUCGCCUGCACGAAGUCGGAAUCGCUAGUAAUCGCGGAUCAGCAUGCCGCGGUGAAUACGUUCCCGGGCCUUGUACACACCGCCCGUCACACCAUGAGAGUUUGUAACACCCAAAGUCGGUGGGGUAACCUUUAGGAGCCAGCCGC